GCUGGGUGCAGUGGCUCACGCCUGUAAUCCCAGCUACACAGGAGGCUGAGGCAGGAGGAUCACUUGUGCCCAGGAGUUUGAGACAAGCCUGGGCAACAUAGUGAAACCCUGUCUCUU
ensembl:misc_RNA Metazoa_SRP Metazoan signal recognition particle RNA